rnacentral:rRNA from 1 species
AACGAACGCUGGCGGCAUGCUUUACACAUGCAAGUCGAACGGUAACAGGCCUUCGGGUGCUGACGAGUGGCGAACGGGUGAGUAAUGCAUCGGAACGUGCCCAAUCGUGGGGGAUAACGUAGCGAAAGUUACGCUAAUACCGCAUAAGCCCUGAGGGGGAAAGUGGGGGACCGCAAGGCCUCACGCGAAUGGAGCGGCCGAUGUCAGAUUAGCUAGUUGGUGGGGUAAAGGCCCACCAAGGCGACGAUCUGUAGCGGGUCUGAGAGGAUGAUCCGCCACACUGGGACUGAGACACGGCCCAGACUCCUACGGGAGGCAGCAGUGGGGAAUAUUGGACAAUGGGCGCAAGCCUGAUCCAGCAAUGCCGCGUGUGUGAAGAAGGCCUGCGGGUUGUAAAGCACUUUCAGUGGGGAAGAACAGGUUCGGGUCAAUACCCGGAGCCCUGACGUUACCCACAGAGGAAGCACCGGCUAACUCCGUGCCAGCAGCCGCGGUAAUGUAGUC